rnacentral:rRNA from 1 species
GACGAACGCUGGCGGCGUGGAUUAGGCAUGCAAGUCGAACGGUAGGAUACCUUCGGGUAUCUGAGAGUGGCGAACGGGUGAGUAACACGUAGGUGAUCUACCCUCAAGAUUGGGACAACCCAGGGAAACUUGGGCUAAUACCGGAUGAAAGCAGCAGUGAUGUUGUUUGAAAGGUGGCGUAAGCUGCCGUUUGGGGAUGAGCCUGCGCUCUAUUAGUUAGUUGGCGGGGUAAAGGCCCACCAAGGCGAUGAUAGAUAGGCGGCCUUAACGGGUGGUCGCCCACACUGGGAUUGAGAUACGGCCCAGACUCCUACGGGAGGCAGCAGUCGAGAAUAGUCUACAAUGGCCGAAAGGCUGAUAGUGCGACGCCGCGUGAACGAAGAAGCCCUUCGGGGUGUAAAGUUCUUUUAUAUGUGAGCAGUGCUUCUUAUAUUAACAGUAUGGGGAGAGAGAUAUUAGCAUAUGAAUAAGCAACGGCUAACUCCGUGCCAGCAGCCGAC